rnacentral:tRNA from 1 species
GCGGACAUGGCGGAAUUGGCAGACGCACCAGACUUAGGAUCUGGCGGGAAACCGUGGGGGUUCAAGUCCCUUUGUCCGCACCA